rnacentral:rRNA from 1 species
AACGAACGCUGGCGGCAGGCUUAACACAUGCAAGUCGAGCGCCCCGCAAGGGGAGCGGCAGACGGGUGAGUAACGCGUGGGAACGUGCCCUUUGGUUCGGAACAACUCCGGGAAACUGGAGCUAAUACCGGAUAAGCCCUUCGGGGGAAAGAUUUAUCGCCAAAGGAUCAGCCCGCGUCUGAUUAGCUAGUUGGUGGGGUAAUGGCCCACCAAGGCGACGAUCAGUAGCUGGUCUGAGAGGAUGAUCAGCCACACUGGGACUGAGACACGGCCCAGACUCCUACGGGAGGCAGCAGUGGGGAAUAUUGGACAAUGGGCGCAAGCCUGAUCCAGCCAUGCCGCGUGAGUGAUGAAGGCCUUAGGGUUGUAAAGCUUUUUUGCCCGGGAAGAUAAUGACUGUACCGGAGGAAUAAGCCCCGGCUAACUUCGUGCCAGCAGCCGCAGUAAAAC